rnacentral:misc_RNA from 1 species
AAGUCGUAACAAGGUUUCCGUAGGUGAACCUGCGGAAGGAUCAUCAAUGAAAUACUUGAUAUUUUUCUCUACACCCCCCUUUUGUGUCACCGAUCGUGGGAUGAAGGACCCAAAAAAUCUCUUUUUUGUCGUUUGUCCCACGCUUUUUUUUCCUUCUUCACAACCCUUUUUACCCCCUUUUUACUCUUAUAUACCCAAAAUAUAAAAAACAAAAGACAACUUUUAACAACGGAUCUCUUGGCUCUC